rnacentral:pre_miRNA from 1 species
UUUCUUAUAAUUUGGAUCUGUUAUUUUGGUAUCAAUCUAUUAGGAAUAGGUUUACAUAGUUAUGGUUCAUUUACAUUACCCAUCUAAAUGAUUACAUAACAUAAAACCUUAAUGAAAUGGAAAAAACUUCCAUUUUUGUGUUUGAUUUGAGAACCCCUUGAACGCCUUCUCAAAGGGUUCUCAAAAAUUCGAGAUAGAUCUAAUUAGACUCUUUUACUUUUUUCUGAAUUUUUUAGUAUUUCCACUAUGGAAUAUAGAGCGGACUAGUAGAAGAAAAAAAAUCCUAUUUAGGAUAAUAAUUGGAUAACAGAGCCUCUACCCUGUCAACGGAUAGCGAGAGAACAAAAUCUGGAUAAAUACCGAUUCCUAUUACUGGUAAAAAGAUACAGAUUAAAAGAAAGAGUUC